UCUGUAACUGAGUGGCCUGAGUCUGUUAUAAUCCUCCUGACCUGCAGUAUCCCAAAGGCCGAGACCGGGCACUGAAAUUAUCAAAGACUGUGAGCACAUAAUUCUACACACAAAAGAAAACAAUUUGCCUGUACAACAAAGUCAUAGAAGACAAUUUGCUUGGAGGACCACUUCCUCGAAAUCUUGGCCGUUUGUCCCACAUGAGAAGAUUCCUUGCUUCUGCAAAUAACUUUACAGGAACCAUACAAGAAUCGUAUGGCAGACUGAACUAUUUAGAAGGCUUAUUGCAAAGCUACAGGAUGACAAAAAAGUGUUAAGACUGUUUGACCAAGUCAAAAGAGGCUGUUUUACUUGAAGCCGAGAGGACCAUGCAACUUACAUUGGUCAAGGCAUCCAUGGUAGAUGAUCUCUAGAAUAAGAAUCAGGAAUUGAUGAAGCAAAUAGAAUUUUGCCAGGAGGAAAAUCAAAUAUUGGAUAAAAUGCAUCAUCAAAAAGUUGAUGAGGUGGAAAAGCUUACACAAACUGUACACGAGCUUGAAGAAGCUGUUCUUGCUGGUGGCGCAGCUGCAAACGCGUUCGGGACUAUCAACAGAAAGUUCAAGAAAUGAAUUUAUCAGUAGGAGGAAAAAAGACUCUAGACAGAGAGCUAGCGCAUGCAAAAGUUACAGCCAAUAGAGUGGCAACAGUUGUAGCUAACGAUUGGAAAGAUUCUAAUGAUAAGAUGAUGCCAGUUAAACAAUGGCUCAAAGAAAGACGGUUCUUGCAGGUAUAGUCUUCUAUAAUUCCAUAAACGUAUUGUUUAUAGUAAGGUAUACGGAUGGACCCUGUGCUUUCCAAAGGUACACAGAUGGUCCCCGACGGUUUCCAAAAGUACAAGGAUGGUCCCUUAGAUUUACACUUUGUACGAAAUGCAAGCUACAACACAGGAGGCACUGAACAUAAUGGAGGAAAAGCUUCGAAGAUUGAGGAUGAGACAAGCAAAUGUAGAGUCCAUGAUCCAAAACCAGAAUCCACUUCAGAAACUUCUUUGUCUGUAUCGAAUUCUGGUUUGAUUCGAAAAUUCUUAGAUCUGUAUUUCGAAUUCUUAGAUUUGUUUUUUGAAUGUUUUUUGGUUUAUACUAAUAGGAAACCUCUGUUGGAAACCUCAUU
rnacentral:lncRNA from 1 species